GGGAUUGCCUUAGUAACGGCGAGUGAAGCGGCAACAGCUCAAAUUUGAAAUCUGGCCUCUGGGUCCGAGUUGUAAUUUGGAGAGGAUGUUUCGGGUACGGUCCGGGCUUAAAUUUCUUGGAACAGAAUGUCACAGAGGGUGAGAGUCCCGUCUGGAGUCCGCGACACGGCCUAUGUGAAACUCCUUCGACGAGUCGAGUUGUUUGGGAAUGCAGCUCUAAAUGGGUGGUAAAUUUCAUCUAAAGCUAAAUAUUGGCCAGAGACCGAUAGCGCACAAGUAGAGUGAUCGAAAGAUGAAAAGCACUUUGAAAAGAGAGUUAAACAGUACGUGAAAUUGUUGAAAGGGAAGCGCAGGCAACCAGACUUGCAUGUCGGGGUUCCCCCUUGCUUCUGCCUGGGUUACUCCCCGGCGUUCAGGCCAACAUCGGUUUCGGGGGUCGGUUAAAGGCCUUGGGAAUGUACCUACCCUUCGGGGUAGACUUAUAGCCCAGGGUGUCAUGCGACCUCCCGGGACCGAGGAACGCGCUUCGGCUCGGAUGUUGGCGUAAUGGUUGUCUGCGACCCGUCUUGAAACACGGACCAAGGAGUCUAACAUCUAUGCGAGUGUUAGGGUGUCAAACCCUUACGCGGAAUGAAAGUGAACGGAGGUAGGAAGCCGUUAGGCUGCACUAUCGACCGAUCCUGAAGUUUACGGAUGGAUUUGAGUAAGAGCAUAGCUGUUGGGACCCGAAAGAUGGUGAACUAUGCCUGAAUAGGGUGAAGCCAGAGGAAACUCUGGUGGAGGCUCGCAGCGG
rnacentral:rRNA from 1 species